GACAUAGUCGAUUGGGUUGCGCAAUGUCCGACUUGCCAGAAACAGGGAAAGAAAUUACAUGUGGAUAACAACUUGAGAAGCAUAAAGGCUGUUCGUGUCUGGGAAUUGUUGGGAAUGGAUCUAAUGGGACCAUUACCAGAAACAAAGAAUGGAUACCGGUAUAUAAUGACAGUCAUAGAUUAUGUUUCAAAAUUUCUGUUUGCGUUUCCACUUCGAAGUAAGUCAGCAGUUGAGGUUGCCAAGAAAAUGUACGUCAUGAUUUGUAUGCGUGGAUUCCCACAGCGCAUACUGACCGAUCGUGGUCCUGAAUUCUGUAAUAAGAGCAUUACAGGAGAUGGUUGAUGACAACGGUACAAAUUGGGAUGAAAUAAUUCAUCCAAUUUUUGUUUUCGAUGCGAACAAAAGAACACUCAAGAACAAAACUUACCCCCUUUUGACUAAUGUAUGCAGAAGACCCCAUAUUUCCAUAAGAAGUCUCAAAAUUACACGAUCCCAGAUUUAAAUACACUUCAUGAAGAAUUCUACAAACAGUAUGACAUAGAAAAGACAUUGCGACAUGAGGCUGACGUUACUUAAAGCCAUUUCAAUAUCUCUAAAGCACAAGAAAGGCAACAGAGACAUUAUGCAAAAAGGCACAGCUCAAAAUACGGUGAAGUAAGCUUUGAUGUUGGGAACUCUGUCCUUUUAUUGAAUGCUAGGAAGAGAACAAGAAAAGGCGGAGUACUAGAACCUACAUAUCGUGGACCAUACAAAAUUACAAGUAUUGAGGGGAAGACAGUAAAAUUAGAAACCAUGUCAGGAAAAAUGUUAGCAACCAAGUACAGCAUUGCAUGUUUAAAGAGCCACCACAAUUUGCUCCCAAGAGCACAACAGAGGAAAGAAUUGUAACUGAAAUCACAGUGAGUAACAAUGGGACCACAAAUACAUGUGAAAAGAUUCAAAAAUUGGAUGGGCCUGAAUCACAUAUCAGGUUCAAUCAUUGAACGAUAUAAAAAAGACAUCAUCGGAAGAAGAGGAGAUAGUGGAGGAAUAUGAUUUUGGUGACAUGAUGAUGGAGGAUGUGGAAGACAAAGAAUGGUUUCUGAAAGUAAAAUUUGCAAUGAAUGGAAAACAAAGAGACUGGAGGCCAAAGUGAGAAAUUACAAAUUGUAUGGCACUUCAUUUCAUUGCCUGAAACCAAGAAACUGGAUAUGUGAUGAGGUUAUUGAUGCGUAUUUCAGCUGUCUAGUCGAGAAAUCGGGGGGAAAGGUAGGCCACU